CCCUCUCACGUGCACUCUGGACCCCUCACACAGACACACUGCAUCCCCUCUCACAUGUACUCUGGACCCCUCACACAGACACACUGCAUCCCCUCUCACAUGCACUCUGCGCCCCUCACACAUGCACUCUGGACCCCUCACACAAACACACUGCAUCCCCUCUCACAUGCACUCUGGACCCCUCACACAGACACACUGCAUCCCCUCUCACAU